GCUCCUGUGGUCUAGUCCGGUCAAGGAUUCAGCCCUUUCGAGGCUGAGGCCCGGGUUCAAAUCCCGGCAGGAGCA
rnacentral:tRNA from 1 species